rnacentral:rRNA from 1 species
CCUACGGGAGGCAGCAGUAGGGAAUAUUGGUCAAUGGGCGAGAGCCUGAACCAGCCAUGCCGCGUGCAGGAAGAAGGCCCUCUGGGUUGUAAACUGCUUUUGACAGGGGCCAAAAUACUCAUGCGUGAGGAAUUGAGAGUACCUGUAGAAUAAGCACCGGCUAACUCCGUGCCAGCAGCCGCGGUAAUACGGAGGGUGCAAGCGUUGUCCGGAUUUAUUGGGUUUAAAGGGUGCGUAGGUGGCCUUAUAAGUCAGUGGUGAAAGCCUGCAGCUUAACUGUAGGACUGCCAUUGAUACUGUGGGGCUUGAGUACUGAUGAGGUAGGCGGAAUUGAUAGUGUAGCGGUGAAAUGCAUAGAUAUUAUCAAGAACACCGAUUGCGAAGGCAGCUUACUAAGGAGUUACUGACACUGAGGCACGAAAGCGUGGGGAUCAAACAGGAUUAGAUACCCUGGUAGUCCACGCCAUAACCGAUGAUUACUCGAUGUAUGCGAUAGAUAGUAUGCGUCCAAGCGAAAGCGUUAAGUAAUCCGACCUGGGGAGUACGACCGCAGGUUGAAACGUUNAAACGGAUUGACGGG